GCGCCCUAAGGCUGCCAGGCAAAGGGGCGACGCGCGUCCCCAUUAUUGCGCGCGCCGCCGCGCCCUUCCAGGUGCCCUCGCGUACCUGGCGGCGGUGUCCGUGCCUCGGAGACCGCCGGCCGGCUGGGGCGCGGGAGGUGCGCGCGCUCGCGCGGGGGUCGGGGCCUCCCGGCGGCUGCGCCCCCUCCGCCGCUCCCCGGGCGCCGAUCGCCGCCCUCCCGCCCCGAGUGGGGCCGCGGGCGGUAGCGGCCCCGGGCUCCCGGCCGCUGCCUGGGAGCCAAAGGGUCAGAUUUAGUUUCACAACAAAGUCUCUUCGUCACAGCAACCCGACUGGAGGCCAAAGCGGCCGGGCACCGGGGCAGGGGCCGGAGCGCCGCCGGCGUGGCCGAAGGAGGAUGAAGAUCCAGCCCACUAGCUUAGAUCGAGAUUUGCUUCAGAGCAUCAGUGGGAGAAGACCGGACCAUAUGGGAACAGCCAAGAGUCAAGCCAACUCUUCAGAAGGACAGAUGUUGCAACCCUGCAAGUUGCAAGAAGGGUCACAGGAGGGCAGGUUAUUUGGAG
ensembl:lncRNA